UACGUAGGGUGCAAGCGUUGUCCGGAAUUAUUGGGCGUAAAGAGCUCGUAGGCGGUGUGUCGCGUCGGCCGUGAAAACCUGCAGCUUAACUGUGGGCUUGCGGUCGAUACGGGCAUCACUGGAGUUCGGCAGGGGAGACUGGAAUUCCUGGUGUAGCGGUGAAAUGCGCAGAUAAUCAGGAGGAACACCGGUGGCGAAGGCGGGUCUCUGGGCCGAUACUGACGCUGAGGAGCGAAAGCGUGGGGAGCGAACAGGA
rnacentral:rRNA from 1 species